UACUACAUGGAUAACCGUGGUAAUUCUAGAGCUAAUACAUGCCAAAAACCCCGACUUACGGAGGGGUGUAUUUAUUAGAUAAAAAACCGACGCCCUUCGGGGCUCACCGGUGAUUCAUGAUAACUUCGCGAAUCGCAUGGCCUUGCGCCGGCGAUGGUUCAUUCAAAUUUCUGCCCUAUCAACUUUCGAUGGUAGGAUAGUGGCCUACCAUGGUGUCGACGGGUGACGGGGAAUUAGGGUUCGAUUCCGGAGAGGGAGCCUGAGAAACGGCUACCACAUCCAAGGAAGGCAGCAGGCGCGCAAAUUACCCAAUCCCGACUCGGGGAGGUAGUGACAAUAAAUAUCGAUCCAGGGCUCUUAUGGGUCUUGGAAUUGAAAUGAGUACAAUUUAAAUCCCUUAACGAGGAACAAUUAGAGGGCAAGUCUGGUGCCAGCAGCCGCGGUAAUUCCAGCUCUAAUAGCGUAUAUUAAAGUUGUUGCAGUUAAAAAGCUCGUAGUUGAACCUUGGGCCUGGCUGGCCGGUCCGCCUCACCGCGUGCACUGGUCCGGCCGGGCCUUUCCUUCUGGGGAUCCGCAUGCCCUUCACUGGGCGUGUCGGGGAACCAGGACUUUUACUUUGAAAAAAUUAGAGUGUUCAAAGCAGGCCUUUGCUCGAAUACAUUAGCAUGGAAUAAUAGAAUAGGACGAGCGGUCCUAUUUUGUUGGUUUCUAGGACCGCCGUAAUGAUUAAUAGGGAUGGUCGGGGGCAUCGGUAUUCAGUUGUCAGAGGUGAAAUUCUUGGAUUUAUUGAAGACCAACUACUGCGAAAGCAUUUGCCAAGGAUGUUUUCAUUAAUCAGUGAACGAAAGUUAGGGGAUCGAAGACGAUCAGAUACCGUCGUAGUCUUAACCAUAAACCAUGCCGACUAGGGAUCGGGCGAUGUUUCCAUUUUGACUCGCUCG
rnacentral:rRNA from 1 species